GUGGAGGUAUGAGCGGGGAGCACCGAGCUGGGGGGCCGGGUCGGGCCGUCGGUGGCGUUGUACUCCGGUGUCGGGGAGGAGCCGGGGCCGUCUGAGGUUUGGUUCGAGGCGGAAGGGUCUCCCUGGGUCGUCAGGUCUGAGGGGGAGGGGUCCGGGGCGGAGGAGUUCGAGGGGGAGGGGUCCGGGCUCUCACUGGAUGGGUCAGCGGCGGGGACGCCCGCCAACAGAGAGAGCAGGGUGAGGAGGAGGAGGGUCGAGGAGCUCUUCAUGGUGCCGACUGAACAGAGGGAGGAAGAGGGUUUGAGGACAGUUGGUAGUGAAGGUUCUGAUACACGCCCAAUUACAAAAAUGUCCCAGCACCAUUUCGCCGGCAGUUUACGGGCGGGAAUCGGACCUCACAAUACGAUUUUGAACCGAUUAUUUUGAUGCAAAGAAAGAUUUAUAC
ensembl:lncRNA